GAAGCACCAGGAGAAACCAGGGGUGGCCACACUGUCCCCAGACAAAGUAGAUCCAAAGUCCAAAACUGCUGCAAGGCACAAAGAAGGCUAUUCUAGAAUGAUUAAAAAGGUCAAUUCUCCAGGAAGAGAUGAGAAUUAUAAAUACAUGUGCACCUAACAGCAGAGCACGCAAUUAUAUGACACAGACAGAACUGAAGGGAGAAAGAGUAACUCAACAGAGGAAGGGGUUUAAUAAACCACUUGCAAU